GACUGUUUCGUUUUCGUUCAUUCUCUUUGUUAUUUUGUUUUGUGUUCAGUUUAAAUAAAAAUAACAUGAACACUUACUACGCUGCGCUUUGGUCCACACCUUCUUCAUACGACGACCGUUACACCAGAUCAGAGGCAGUAGGGAUGAUCAGGGAUGUUCUCUUGACAAGUGUGUGAAUUGGAACAUUUUCCUGUCCUGAUUGCAAGGUGAGGCUGUUGACCAGCAGGGUGGACAUGUUACUGCCGUUGAAGGAGGACUGGUAACACUCAGCUGUAAUUACACUACCAGUAGUGCAUCUUCUGGUACAUCCAGUUAACUAGGAACUCUCCUCAGUAUGUCCUGAGAAGAGAUCGUUAUUCAGAAGGGAGCAAUAGUGAUGAGUUUAAGAAGAGGUUUGAUUCCAGGCAGAAUUUCACAUUUUGCUCAGUAGAGUGCUUGUCACAGGAUUCUCAAUGUUUGACAAUGCACCAAAAGAGGAGGAGAGGAAAAUGUCAUGGUGCCAUCAUGGCCUAGCUACAUCAGUGGUUUAUUAUUCUCCCAUUGAUCUCACACUAGCAGACAUGGGGCCCUGGCUGAGUAAUUUACUGAUUCUUGCUGCAUGUUGUUAUGAAUGCAGAGGAGAAGACGCAGUCAUUCAGCCACCAGAAGAUGUGAUCGCUACUGAGGGAGAACAGGUCACACUGGACUGUCAAUUUG